AUACGGAGGAUGCGAGCGUUAUCCGGAUUUAUAGGGUUUAAAGGGAGCGUAGGCGGGAGCUUAAGUCAGCGGUUAAAUGGUGCGGCUCAACCGUGCCCUGCCGUUGAAACUGGGUUUCUUGAGAGUGCAAGAGGCGGAUGGAAUUCAUGGUGUAGCGGUGAAAUGCUUAGAUAUCAUGAAGAACUCCGAUUGCGAAGGCAGUCCGCUGGGGCACGUCUGACGCUGAUGCUCGAAGGUGCGGGAAUCAAACAGGAUUAGAGACCCUGGUAGUCCGCACGGUAAACGAUGAUUACCGGCUGUCGGGGGCAGACAGUCGGCGGCCAAGCGAAAGCGAUAAGUAAUCCACCUGGGGAGUACGCCGGCAACGGUGAAACUCAAAUGAAUUGACGGGG
rnacentral:rRNA from 1 species